rnacentral:rRNA from 1 species
GAGGGAAGAAGGUGACUGAUCCCGGUAAAGAAUUACUGGAUAACUCCGUGCCAGCAGCCGCGGUAAUACGGAGGGGGUUAGCGUUGUUCGGAAUUACUGGGCGUAAAGCGCAUGUAAGCGGAUGAUUGAGUUGGACAUGAAAGCCCGGGGCUCAACCCUGGAACUGCCUUUGAAACUCCUGGUCUUGAGUUCGAGAGAGGUGAGUGGAAUUCCAAGUGUAGAGGUGAAAUUCAUAUAUAUUUGGAGGAACACCAUUGGCGAAGGCGGCUCACUGGCUCGAUACUGACGCUGAGGUGCGAAAGUGUGGGGAGCAAACAGGAUUAGAUACCCUGGUAGUCCACACCGUAAACGAUGAAUGCCAGUCGUCGGGUAGUAUACUGUUCGGUGACACACCUAACGGAUUAAGCAUUCCGCCUGGGGAGUACGGUCGCAAGAUUAAAACUCAAAGGAAUUGACGGAGAU